UAUCUCUGUAGAGUCUGCAUAUCAAUAAGCGGAGGAAAAGAAACUAACUAGGAUUCCCUCAGUAACGGCGAGUGAAGCGGGAAGAGCUCAAAUUUGAAAUCUUCAAGGUUCUACCUUGACGAAUUGUAGUUUAAAGAAGUGUUUUCUGUUGGAGUUUUGGUAAAAGUUCUUUGGAAUAGGACAUCAUAGAGGGUGAGAAUCCCGUAUUUGACCAUUAUUUCCAGCUUUGUGAUACACUUUCAAAGAGUCGGAUUGUUUGGGAAUGCAGUCCAAAAUGGGUGGUAAAUUUCAUCUAAAGCUAAAUACUGGCGAGAGACCGAUAGCGAACAAGUACCGUGAGGGAAAGAUGAAAAGAACUUUGAAAAGAGAGUUAAACAGUACGUGAAAUUGUCAAAAGGGAAGCGUUUGACACCAGUGUUGUUUUCUCGAAAAUCAAUUAAAAAAGGCAGGAUUUUGUGUUGUAUUGACUUUAUCAGCUUUUCUGCACUCUUUUCUUGUCCUUUUUAAUGCACUUUUCGUUUAACAAGUCAACAUCAAUUUCUUUUGUUGUAAAAGGGUCAUUGGAAGGUGGCUUUCUUUUCGGAGAAAGUGUUUAUAGCCUUUGGCCUUCUGCAAUCGGAGAGAUUGAGGUCUGCAGCGUAGAUCCUUCUGGAUUAGAUACAUUUGUGCUAAGUUAUAGCCGUUUCAUAGACAACUUGUUGACUAUAUCGAUCAUGUAGCUUACUCGCUUAUGCUAAUUUUACCUACGCUUAGGAUGUUGAUCUGUAGUGCGUGCGC
rnacentral:rRNA from 1 species